UGCAGUCGAGCGGAACGAGUUAUCUGAACCUUCGGGGAACGAUAACGGCGUCGAGCGGCGGACGGGUGAGUAAUGCCUAGGAAAUUGCCCUGAUGUGGGGGAUAACCAUUGGAAACGAUGGCUAAUACCGCAUGAUGCCUACGGGCCAAAGAGGGGGACCUUCGGGCCUCUCGCGUCAGGAUAUGCCUAGGUGGGAUUAGCUAGUUGGUGAGGUAAGGGCUCACCAAGGCGACGAUCCCUAGCUGGUCUGAGAGGAUGAUCAGCCACACUGGAACUGAGACACGGUCCAGACUCCUACGGGAGGCAGCAGUGGGGAAUAUUGCACAAUGGGCGCAAGCCUGAUGCAGCCAUGCCGCGUGUAUGAAGAAGGCCUUCGGGUUGUAAAGUACUUUCAGUCGUGAGGAAGGCGUUGUCGUUAAUAGCUGCAUCAUUUGACGUUAGCGACAGAAGAAGCACCGGCUAACUCCGUGCCAGCAGCCGCGGUAAUACGGAGGGUGCGAGCGUUAAUCGGAAUUACUGGGCGUAAAGCGCAUGCAGGUGGUUUGUUAAGUCAGAUGUGAAAGCCCGGGGCUCAACCUCGGAAUAGCAUUUGAAACUGGCAGACUAGAGUACUGUAGAGGGGGGUAGAAUUUCAGGUGUAGCGGUGAAAUGCGUAGAGAUCUGAAGGAAUACCGGUGGCGAAGGCGGCCCCCUGGACAGAUACUGACACUCAGAUGCGA
rnacentral:rRNA from 1 species